GUUCUUCCAGCUGGCCUCCUUGCCACGUGCACACCCUGCCCGGAACCCGGCCCAGCUGCUUGCUGCUCGCCUGCCCACUUCCGUUUCCAGGAAGGGUUCCGGAGGCUGGCGGAGCAGGGGGCGGAGUGAUUGAUGACAGCGCGCGUGCCCCUGAACUCCUCGUCAAAGUUCUACAGGGUUGGCAGCCCUGUGCUGAAAGCUGCUCUGUGGCUGAGGCGGCAUAUGGACUGCUGACAGAGCAGCUGCUGGGGAAGAAGACGCUGAAAGGAAGCCUCUAGGGAUAAACAGAGAAACCCAUGGCACCACGUGGCACCCAAGGCAGAAUUCUCAUCCCCUUCACGACUGGAUAGCUACCCACCAAGCUCAGGCUGUGUUUCUCAGCUUCUUUUGCUAUGGAGUGGAUUCUUGCCAGUGGAAUUUUUCUCUUUGGUGAGAAAUAGCAGAGCCAGAUGCUGGAUGGACCCAGAGCAGGAAGACUCCUGAGAGAGGGACAGCCAAGUUUGACACAAAUACCAAUAAUCCCAGGUAUAUCUACUUUAGAUGGGAUAGUUUCCUA
ensembl:lncRNA